UAGAGUUUUUGGCGUUACCUCCUCGCGCUCUUUAAUCUUCUUUCCUCAACUCCUAAACUUCCCCCCGCCCCUACUUCUUCGGCAGAAGGCCCACAUUGGGCGCCCGAAGCCGCGAACCUCUACCUUGUCCUACUAUUGGGCGGCUCGCAUGCCACUCGCUGCUUCAGCUGACCAAUAGCGUUUGGACAGCCCUCGUGAGGUUGCCGCCCAUAAACAAAAUGCACUCUUCCUCCUCCCCUCCGCGGCUCCUCCCCUAACUGCCCCUUCUCUCAUCUCUGUCAUCUUUGAUUGGCCUAGGAGACACCCAAUCCGCUAUCUCAAGCAUCAACUGUCUUGGAUCCCCCAGUCAUUCAUAAAGACCAGCACCAACGUCUUCCAAAUGCCUAUUCCUGUUUCUAUUUUGACUUCUUCUCAUCAAUCAUAAGUAAUGUCAAUGGAAUCUAGAGUGGAUAAUAAUAUCCAGCAUAAUAGAGGCAAGAUGGCCACAGCAGAAUGUACUUCUGUUUCUUACUCUAUUGGUGGAUCGUGUGAAUGCCCAGGAACACUGUAAUAAAAGUGUGACAAUGGAAACAGAAGAUGUGAAUACAACCGAGGCAGACUCUUCAUCAAUGAAAGCAGCUACAGAGUCAAUAAAUUACCAGUGGGGAGCCCUCGGGUAUCAUCAGUAUAUCAAAUCUGCAUGUCUUAAAGAGAUAAAAGAAAUAAAGCAAGCCUAUCAGCUACUAGAGUAGAACUUUGAAUAUUAACUCUGAACUUUUUUUGAAAGAAGGGUCAUGUAAUGUGCAGCAAGGUGCUUAUAAUGAUUUCACAGUCUGUCACCCUCUACCCAUACCUGUACCCACACUUUUUGCCAUCAUAAGCUUUGAUGAGAAUUAAUAGACUCUGCAGCUGUCUUCAUGGAGACUUGAGGGAGAAUGGUCAAUGAUUGGUCCAGACACAGUCCUUUAUCUUCAUGAAGGACUGAUAGAUUGGUGCAGACACUCUCGCCAUAUCUUCCUUCUGUCUGAACAGACAGAACCCUUCUGUGCUGUCCCCUGAUGCUACAACAUUAGGCCCUGAUUAAAG
rnacentral:lncRNA from 1 species